GACAGUUUGGCCGAGCGGUUAAGGCGGUGCCCUGCUAAGGCAUUUCCCUUUGGGAGCGCAGGUUCGAAUCCUGCAGCUGUCG
rnacentral:tRNA from 1 species